rnacentral:rRNA from 1 species
UACAGGGGGGGGCAAGCGUUGUUCGGAAUUACUGGGCGUAAAGGGCCAGUAGGCGGCCAACUAAGUCACACGUGAAAUCCCCAGGCUUAACCUGGAAACUGCGUGUGAUACUGGAUGGCUUGAAUUCGGGAGAGGGAUGCAGAAUUCCAGGUGUAGUGGUGAAAUGCAUAGAGAUCCGGAGGAAUACCAGAGGCGAAGGCGGCACCCUGGGUCUGACCUGACACUGAUCCGCGACAGCAUGGGGAGCGAACGGG